rnacentral:rRNA from 1 species
UGCAGUCUAACCGGAGAAAGCUUGCUUUCUUGCUGACGAGCGGGGACGGGUGAGUAAUGUAUGGGGAUCUGCCCGAUAGAGGGGGAUAACUACUGGAAACGGUGGCUAAUACCGCAUAAUGUCUACAGACCAAAGAGGGGGCUCUUCGGACCUUGCGCUAUCGGAUGAACCCAUAUGGGAUUAUCUAGUAGGUGGGGUAAAGGCUCACCUAGGCGACGAUCUCUAUCUGGUCUGAGAGGAUGAUCACCCACACUGGGACUGAGACACGGCCCACACUCCUACGGGAGGCAGCAGUGGGGAAUAUUGCACAAUGGGCGCAAGCCUGAUGCACACAUGCCGCGUGUGUGAAAAAGGCCUUAGGGGUGUAAAGCACUUUCAGCGGGGAGGAAGGGGGUAAGGAUAAUACCCUUAUCAAUUGACGUUACCCGCAGAAAAAACACCGGCUAUCUCCGCGCCAGCAGCCGCGGUAAUACAGAGGGUGCGAGCGUUAAUCGGAAUUACUGGGCGUAAAGCGCACGCAGGCGGUCUAUUAAGUCAGAUGUGAAAGCCCCGAGCUCAACUUGGGAAUUGCAUCUGACACUGGGUGGAUAGAGUCUUGUAGAGGGGGGUAGAAUUCCAUGUGUAGCGGUGAAAUGCGUAGAGAUGUGGAGGAAUACCGGUGGCGAAAGCGGCCCCCUGGACAAAGACUGACGCUCACGUGCGAGAGCGUGGGGAGAACACAGGAUUAUAUACCCUGGGAGUCCACGCUGUAAACGAUGUCUAUUAGAGGUUGUGGUCUUGAGCCGUGGCUUCUGGAGAUAUCGCGUUAAAUCGACCGCCUGGGGAGUACGCGCGCAAGGUUAAAACUCAAAAUGAAUUGACGGGGGGCGCCGCACAAGCGGGUGGGGG